AACGAACGUUAGCGGCGCGCCUAACACAUGCAAGUCGAACGCGACAGGGGCAACUCUGUUGAGUGGCGCACGGGUGAGUAACACGUAGGUAAUCUCCCCCCGAGUGGUGGAUAACCUUCCGAAAGGAGGGCUAAUACAGCAUAAGACCACGGCUUCGAAAGGAGCUGAGGUCAAAGCGGAGGAUCGCAAGACUUCGCGCUUGGGGAUGAGCCUGCGGCCCAUCAGGUAGUUGGCGGGGUAACAGCCCACCAAGCCUAAGACGGGUAGCUGGGCUGAGGUGAUGAUCAGCCACAGUGGAACUAAGACACGGUCCAGACUCCUACGGGAGGCAGCAGUGGGGAAUCGUGCGCAAUGGACGAGAGUCUGACGCAGCGGCGCCGCGUGGGUGAUGAAGGCCUUCGGGUUGUAAAGCCCUGUGGGGAGGGACGAAUAAGUUUCAGCUAAUACCUGAAGCGAUGACGGUACCUCCUUAGCAAGCACCGGCUAACUCUGUGCCAGCAGCCGCCGUAA
rnacentral:rRNA from 1 species